rnacentral:piRNA from 1 species
AGGGAAAUGAUAACUCCCCAUAGGAUCGC